rnacentral:rRNA from 1 species
CCUACGGGUGGCAGCAGUGGGGAAUAUUGGACAAUGGGGGCAACCCUGAUCCAGCCAUGCCGCGUGUGUGAAGAAGGCCCUCGGGUUGUAAAGCACUUUCAGUGAGGAAGAACGCCUGGUGGUUAAUACCCAUCAGGAAAGACAUCACUCACAGAAGAAGCACCGGCUAACUCCGUGCCAGCAGCCGCGGUAAUACGGAGGGUGCGAGCGUUAAUCGGAAUUACUGGGCGUAAAGCGCGCGUAGGUGGCUUGAUAAGCCGGUUGUGAAAGCCCCGGGCUCAACCUGGGAACGGCAUCCGGAACUGUCCAGCUAGAGUGCAGGAGAGGAAGGUAGAAUUCCCGGUGUAGCGGUGAAAUGCGUAGAGAUCGGGAGGAAUACCAGUGGCGAAGGCGGCCUUCUGGACUGACACUGACACUGAGGUGCGAAAGCGUGGGUAGCAAACAGGAUUAGAUACCCUGGUAGUC